CCCCCCCAAAGUUGGAAGACGACAUGGCUUGGGGGAGUCACCAGCGGACAAGGUGAACGGGAAAGACGUCGCUCAGCUCGACGAUGCCUUUCAAGAGGCCUUUGAGAACUUACACAUCGGUAGCCCUGUCGUUCAUCAGCUGUUUUUGUUCCUGUCUGAGACGCAGAUCUCAAGAGGAAAAUCCGGAAAAGGACAAAAUAGAAAAAUGUACCAGAUCAGAGUCCCUCAUUGUAAGGGUUAUGGUGUCCAUUUUUACAGACAGCUGUCAAAGGUUGUGUUAAACCAGGCAAUUAAUUAAACUUAUUUAAAUGUGUCCA